UACUUCGACAAAUUUUCAAGGACACAUUUUGCAUCGUGCGGUACACUGUCAUGAUACACUGUCAGAGUGACAAUGUACUUUAACGAGUUUUCUAUAAAACUAGCAACACUGAAGGGUAAGAACAAGUUCACCAUAGUUACUGUUUAGUGUAGUGAAAAAUAAACUUGAACUAUGUUGUUGUGUAUGAGAUAUGGGUUUAACAGUUUAUUUACCUAUAGAUCAGUUUUGGAGAGCACUUUUGGAAACACACUGAAAUGCUUCUUACGAAAAACUACCAUGGGAACCGACAAAUGCAAAACUGAUUUCCUAGCACAGAUUAAUCAGACGCUAGCAAUGUUCUUAAAACGGGCAGAAUGGUUAUGUAAUUCUCAAGCAAAUCAUUGUCUCCAAUAAUAUUCACAUCCGCUUCGAAACCAAUUUAUAUGAAUCAAAUGCCUAUUGAUUUUUCUACAAUUAGCACUUCAAUGGAAAUCGUUUCGAAUGCUAGGCUGGCUCACGGAUUCGUCAUUCCUCGCCGGCAGACCAACGGAAUCGGUCUCCAAAGUGAUAUGGAAUGUUCUCAAUCCAACUGCAUGUUCCACUGUCUAGUCUGUUGGGGUUGCCGCUAGCACAACAUUUGGUUGCGAUCGCCAUAGUUAAGGCUAUUCAUGAAAGUGUACCGGGAUAUGAUCGGUUGGAAAUGACCGAUUGAUAUAUAUGCGAAUGAGGUAACGAAAAUUGUCACAGUCAUCUUAGCAAUUCGACUCCGACAGUUUACUUGGAUGAUCUGAUUCGUGAUAUCAAUUCGAGAAUGGAAACAAAUCUUCCACAUUUGAGAUAUGAACAAAUUCUGACGGACAUUCUGAAGUUGGAAGUCUUUUUAAUUAAGUUCGAUGCGAGGAUUUGCAUUGUUUGUAUGUACUCUACUAUACUCACCGGUCGAAUCAAGAGCAUUGAUGAGUACUGAUAUUUGCUUGUGGAAGUGGACAACCAUGUGAAGCCUAUUUGAAUUCAUCCUGAUGGAAACAGUUUCGAUAUGAUGAAAAAGGGUUGAUAAUUCCAAAAAACUGAUCAAGUUUAGAUUUGAUACUGUAAUCUAAUAUUGUAAAUCAUUUGUUGACGUUUUAAAUUUUUUAGAAUCGAUUAAUUUCUAGGAAUACAACAACUAAUAUUCAAAAAUAAUAUUUUUAUUUGCAGUAUAACUGCAAUUAUUCCAUAUCGGAUUUUGUUUUUUGUCCUCCUUGGCUUUUCAGAAAUUUGAUCCGUGGCUUUUCGGAAAUUGCUCAGUAUUAUAUGUUAGAAUGUCUCUGUACUGUUCACCGAAUCGUUAUGGUAGCCAUCCGUUCUUCUCAUUGCAAAUCACUCCCGUCAGAGGAGUAGGAAUUUUUCCAACAUCUGCUAAAUGCGGGGAGCCUUUACGUCAUAAUACUAAUAGAAAAUAAUUCAAUUAAUAAGGGCUAUAAUCAAUUUGUCUGGGUCACGCAUAGAUGAGUGACUA